UUAGCGAAAGAUAUCAUCAAACCGACAGAUCCUACUUUUAGCUUUGAGCAUGAAAGGAUUAAAGAUGAACGUUUCUGGCCUCAUUUCAAAGGUGCUAUUGGUGCAAUAGACGGAUCACAUGUGCCAGUUUCAGUACCAGCGGAUGAUGCGGUUAACCAUAGAUGUCGGCAUGGUUUUACAUCUCAGAAUGUGCUUGCAAUAUGUGACUUUGACAUGAGGUUUACCUUUGUGGUUGCGGGUUGGCCGGGUUGUGCACAUGACACGAGGAUCCUGAAUCAUGCAUUAUCACAUUUCUCUUCAUUUCCUAUACCUCCCAAAGGUAUGUAA
rnacentral:rRNA from 1 species